rnacentral:ncRNA from 1 species
CCUAGUCUCAACCAUAAACGAUGCCGACCAGGGAUCGGCGGAUGUUGCUUAUAGGACUCCGCCGGCACCUUAUGAGAAAUCAAAGUCUUUGGGUUCCGGGGGGAGUAUGGUCGCAAGGCUGAAACUUAAACGAAUUGACGGAAGGGCACCACCAGGCGUGGAGCCUGCGGCUUAAUUUGACUCAACACGGGGAAACUUACCAGGUCCAGACAUAGCAAGGAUUGACAGACUGAGAGCUCUUUCUUGAUUCUAUGGGUGGUGGUGC